rnacentral:lncRNA from 1 species
GUCGAUUUGUUGUAGCGUCUGUCGAUCGAUGCUGAGGCUUCUGCGGGCAAUGUAACUCUGAAUCUCCACUAAUUCCCUCUGUAUUGCUUCUAUCUGAGAAUUUAAAGCACUCAUGCUAAGGUUCAUUGGGAAAUAGAUGUCAUCACAUCUCCUAUCAAGCCUCUCUUCUGUAGUUUCCAGAGUUCUGUAGAUCUCUUAUACCAACUGAUCAAUCUCUGCUCUGGUGUGAAAAUAUGGUUGAGACUGCAUCGGGUGUGAGUUCUUUGGGUCGUCGUCGAUCGAUGUUGAGUGGUGUCUAUCGAUCGAUGCUGGUCGAUGUUUGUCGGCCGCAUGCUGAAUUUU